rnacentral:rRNA from 1 species
CAGCCGCCGCGGUAAUACCGGCGGCCCGAGUGGCGGUCACUAUUAUUGGGCUUAAAGCGUCCGUAGCCGGGUUGGGAAGUCCUCCGGGAAAUCUGGCCGCUUAACGGUCAGAAUGCCGGAGGAUACUCCCAGCCUAGGGAGCGGGCGAGGCCGAGGGGAUUCCCGGAGUAGGGGGGAAAUCCUAUAAUCCCGGGAGGACCACCUGUGGCGAAGGCGCUCGGCUGGAACGCGUCCGACGGUGAGGGACGAAGGCCAGGGGAGCAAACCGGAUUAGAUACCCGGGUAGUCCUGGCGGUAAACGAUGCGGACUUUGUGUCGGACAAGCUAUGAGCUUGUCCGGUGCCGGAGGGAAACCGUUAAGUCCGCCGCCUGGGGAGUACGGCCGCAAGGCUGAAACUUAAAGGAAUUGGCGGG